GCAAUUAUGUUCUCUAACUGACAACAACUGAGACAAAUUAAAGAGCGAUUAUCUGAACUAACGCACAAUUAUGUUCUCUAACUAGCAACAACUGAGACAAAUUAACGAGCGAUUAUCUGAACUAACGCACAACUAUGUUCUCUAACUGGCAACAGCCGAGACAAAUUAAAGAGAGACUAUCUGAACUAACGCACAACUAUGUUCUCUAACUAACAACAGCAGGAACAAAUUAAGUAAAGAUACGCUUACCUGAAACGCGAAGUAGUAGCGACGACACAAUCAGAUGCACAGUUCAGGAAAAGUUAGGAGAAGCGAAGUUCAGAAUCUGCAGCAUCCAUUGUUGAAUAUUAGAAAUAUUGCUGUUCUCGGUGAAGUAUUGCACAGCGUCAGUCAGAGACCCGUGUGCGUGCAUCAGUAUAACCACACACACAUACCAUCUCUGAGGACAAAGGAAGCAGGUUGUAUUCAACUUUAUUGAAGAGACAGAAUUUUUAAUGCAUUCUUACCGGUGCCCCAUGGAGACUACAUUUUUACCCCAGCCAUUUAAUUCAGCACAAAAGAAUAAUUUCCACAUCUUGUCCACCUCAACAAUCAUUGUGUGCAGUGGCUAAAAAGAUAUGUUGGGAAGUAAUAUGCUCUGGCCCGCUUCCAGCUAGUAAGAGCAACGAGGUCCUGUCAAUUAGCUGAGACCCCACUUUACAUCGGCUGGCUCUUGAUAGGUUAACCCAGACUGGUACGUAUCGCUCGUAUCUGAUCUGGGGGAGACUGGAGCAGGCCCCAAGAUGUAGACCCUUCUCAGGCUUGACUCGGGUGGUUGGGCUACCUAGCGGUGUUAACAAAAACCACUUGGGUCUAGCAAGGUAAGUAUCCAGCCCCCCUGGGUCCACUUGGACAGCACACAGGGUGUGGUGGUCUGGGGCCACAGACCUUAAAUGGUGCCCAAUUUUCUAUCAGUGACUAGCACCACCCACACACCAGACCAUUUUGCACUACACACACGAAUCUGACCAACCAAAUUCAAUUUUGACUUUUUAAAUUAAUAAAAUUUUCAUCCCCCUUAAUUGUCGAGUUCGAAUAGAAACUAAAAAAUAAUUGUUUUUAGCUUUUUGAUAAGAAUUUUAAAAUACUUUUUCUUAUAGGAAACAACAAAAUUCUUAAACUUAACAGUUAAUGAAAAACAUUUAAGGAAAUAGUACAAAAGACUAAUAAAUUAUCUGUAAUAGUGAAACCAAAAAUAUCUUGGCCUAAAUCUAGGACCCUAACACAAUUGGGCAUGGGACACAAGUCGGGAUUUGAUCAACCCCGGCUGGCCGCCUCGGAGGAGGGUGUAUAGGGUUUAAAGGCCGAAACACCUGAUGAACCUGAGGUACCUUACUGAUGAUGUGUCCUAAAUUCCUUUUAAAAAAAUUUUUUUUUUUGUUUUUGCAUAAAAAAACUAUCUUAACAUCAACAAACAUUAACACAACCAUAAUAAGUAACUGGAUCUCUUACCCUAACUCCUCGAACCCUAGCCCCAACCCUAGCCCUAGCCCUAGCCCUAGCCCUUGCUCUUGCUCUUGCUCUUGCUCUAGCCAUAACCCUAACUCCAACCCUGGCCCUAUCCCUUGCUCUAACUCUAACCCUAGCCAUAACCCUAACCUUAACCCUAACUCCAACCCUGGCCCUAACCCUUGCUCUAACCCUAACCAUAACCCUAACCUUAACCCUAACUCCAACCCUGGCCCUAACCCUUGCUCUAACCCUAACCCUAGCCAUAACCCUAACCUUAACCCUAACUCCAACCCUGGCCCUAACCCUUACCUUUACCCUAACCCUAACCUUAUACAUAAUAUAACAAAUCAAUUAUUUAAGCUUAAAAAACCGUUUGAAUAGUCAAAAUAAACCCCCUGCCCGCUCGCCCUCCAAUUCCAUAGAUUGUAGUAUGGAGAUUGAACAUGUGAGUACAAUGCCCAGUCAGGCAUUGAGAAUGACCAGCGCAAUCUCGCGGUAAUCAUUUGCUGUUUACUCAGCUCAUGCUCAUCCUCCCGUUUAAUGAUUAAUUAAACCAUAGAAUUUAACAGUUUUUUAUAAACAAUAAACUUACAAAUAAUAUAAUAAACCAAUAAUUUAAUGCUAAUAAAAUCGUUUUUAAUAGUUAACAGAGAACAAACCCCCUACCCGCUCGCCCUCCAACUCCAUAGACUGUAGUAUGGAAGUUGAACAUGUGAGUACAAUGCCCAGUCAGGCAUUAAGAAUGACCAGCGCAAUCUCGCGGUGAUCAUUCGCUGUUUACUCUGUCCAUGUUCAUCCUCCCGUUAAAUGGAUAAUUAAACCAUGAUAUUUAACGAAGUAUUUAUCAGUAAUUUAGCAAAUUAAUAUAAACGGUUUAGAAAAUCUA